rnacentral:rRNA from 1 species
UACGUAGGGAGCGAGCGUUAAUCGGAAUUACUGGGCGUAAAGCGUGCGCAGGCGGUUUUGUAAGACAGAGGUGAAAUCCCCGGGCUCAACCUGGGAACUGCCUUUGUGACUGCAUGACUAGAGUACGGCAGAGGGGGAUGGAAUUCCGCGUGUAGCAGUGAAAUGCGUAGAUAUGCGGAGGAACACCGAUGGCGACGGCAAUCCCCUGGGCCUGUACUGACGCUCAUGCACGAAAGCGUGGGGAGCAAACAGG